GUGAUGUAUACUACAGCCAAGAAUGACAGAGGAAUUUCCCAUUGCAAUGCCCUGCAGGUUGACUGGCUCUCUUAGCAUGCUGAAACUCAGCUUGAGGUACAAAGGACUUCCUAUUUCAACAGCACAUCCUGCAUCAGUCUCUGAAAUCCUGUCAAGCCUUACCAGUGAAGUAAGCUAAGACUCUCCAGAAGCAUCAGCAGCCACAAUAAAGCCAAAAUUCUGCUCAUUCAGCUUCACAAGGGUCUGGGGACCUGCUGGAGGGCAUCAACAGUCCCUGUCUUCACUUCCAGAGAUCCUCACAGUGGGAACUCAGUGGUGUGCAGAUGAAGUGUGCACCCAAACCUUGACCACUCCUAAAGCAUUCAGGAUAUAGCCAUGGAGUUGCCGUGGAGAGAGGACCACACUACAGACAUAAGUGUGGCUCUCAGAACAUGCCUCCAUGUCCUCUGUUCAAAUGCAGAUGUUGGGAACACAUUGAAGACAGAAGCAAGCAUCUAAAUGACCUUGAAAGCAAAUGUUUCAGUAAAUAUCUAGGAAUUGGACAGAUUAACUAUAUAAGGAAGACCAAGACUAAAAGGAAAUAGCAUUAGCUAUUUCCAAGUGACUCAGAAAAAAAUUGAAGUGUACUUUAUCUGUGUAUCACAGAUAAAAACACAGCAGCUUCUAGAAAAUGAAUGGAUGGGACAAAUAGACACUACAUUGGCACAAUAAAUGCAAUUCUUAAUCCAAACAGUUAUUAUUUUCUUGUCCACAACAAAGAUUGUCUCAGCCAGAGAAAAUAUUUUUAAUUUCUCAGUACAAGGGUUCUCUUGGCCAAGAAGUGCAAGACUCUUGCUGACUCUUUUCCCAUCCCACAAUGCUGCCCUUGCUACUUUUGUAGGCUUCCCUUACAAGCUUUCUCACAGCACCCAGCUCUCCCUCCCUCCACCAUUUCCCACUCACACAUGCACAGACACCUGCCUGGGUAGGACCAUGCUUAGCAACAGAAAUAUUUCUAUUUCCAAGUGCUUUGAAAUUCCUGAGUUGACUCUGCCUUUCAUGAAAAAAUAGUGAUUGAUGGUUAAAGAAUACUAUUUCCCUACUGACUUUCUUUACUGAUUUAAUGACUUCUCAUAACCACUUUAUAUAAAGAGGCAGUGCCUAACAGCUUCAGAAAGUUGUAACACACACUGCAAUAGUACAUACAUCUGACCUUGUCUGAGACAUAAGAAUAUCUGACAGUGCAGAAUUUCACUACUAUUCAUCUAUGUAAACAUACAGAUAGGUAUCAGGUGGGAUCUACAAAAAAUGCUGGCACCUAUGUUACUUUACAAAGAUACCCCUGAGAACCUGAUUCAAAGCCAUUUCUCUAAAGAGAAAUUACUAUUGACUUUAUUAGGAUUCAGUUGAGAUUAAUGUUGCACACUUCUUUGCUGCCCUUUCCUGUCUCUGUUCCUGGGAUUUGAAUUGUUCCCUCAAGGCAUUUCAAAAAAAGGAUGGAAAUGUUAGCUGCAAUGCAUGAGAAGUUGAAUACUUGUCCUUCUGGU